rnacentral:rRNA from 1 species
AAUCAACGCUGGCGGCGUGCCUAACACAUGCAAGUCGCACGAGAAAGGGACUUCGGUCCUGAGUACAGUGGCGCACGGGUGAGUAACACGUGAAUCAUCUACCUUCGAGUGGGGAAUAACUGAGAGAAAUCUUAGCUAAUACCGCAUAAUACCUACGGGUCAAAGCAGCAAUGCGCUUGAAGAGGAGUUCGCGGCAGAUUAGUUAGUUGGCAGGGUAAUGGCCUACCAAGACGAUGAUCUGUAUCCGGCCUGAGAGGGCGCACGGACACACUGGAACUGAAACACGGUCCAGACUCCUACGGGAGGCAGCAGUGGGGAAUUUUGCGCAAUGGGGGAAACCCUGACGCAGCAACGCCGCGUGGAGGAUGAAAUCCCUUGGGAUGUAAACUCCUUCGAUCGGGAAGAUAAUGACGGUACCGAGAGAAGAAGCCCCGGCUAACUUCGUGCCAGCCGCCGCCGU